UUUAAAGAGAGUUUGAUCCUGGCUCAGGACGAACGCUGGCGGCGUGCCUAAUACAUGCAAGUCGAACGAACGGAGGAAGAGCUUGCUCUUCCGAAGUUAGUGGCGGACGGGUGAGUAACACGUGGGCAACCUGCCUGUAAGUUGGGGAUAACUCCGGGAAACCGGGGCUAAUACCGAAUGAUAAAGU
rnacentral:rRNA from 1 species